rnacentral:rRNA from 1 species
UACGGGGGGGGCAAGCGUUGUUCGGAAUUACUGGGCGUAAAGGGCCAGUAGGCGGCCAACUAAGUCCGACGUGAAAUCCCCAGGCUUAACCUGGGAACUGCGUCGGAUACUGGAUGGCUUGAAUUCGGGAGAGGGAUGCAGAAUUCCAGGUGUAGCGGUGAAAUGCGUAGAUAUCUGGAGGAAUACCGGUGGCGAAGGCGGCAUCCUGGACCGACAUUGACGCUGAGGAGCGAAAGCUAGGGGAGCAAACGGGG